rnacentral:rRNA from 1 species
CCCUUAGAUGUUCUGGGCUGCACGCGCGCUACACUGAAGCGUUCAACGAGUAUUCACCUUGCCCGGGAGGGUUGGGUAAUCUUUUGAAAACGCUUCGUGAUGGGGAUAGAUGAUUGCAAUUAUUCAUCUUCAACGAGGAAUUCCUAGUAAACGCAAGUCAUCAGCUUGCAUUGAUUACGUCCCUGCCCUUUGUACACACCGCCCGUCGCACCUACCGAUUGAAUGGUCCGGUGAAAUCUUCGGAUCUGAGAGAUGUCUGAUUAAUUUCGGACGCCUUUUGGAAAAGUUGCUUAAACCUUACCAUUUAGAGGAAGGUGAAGUCGUAACA